AGCGAACGCUGGCGGCAGGCUUAACACAUGCAAGUCGAACGGUCAUAGCAAUAUUUCAUUGUCAGACGGGUUUGUAACGCGUUGUAUCGUACCUUUUUUUUCUGAACAACACAUUGGUACUUGUUCUAAUACCGUAUAAUCCCUUACCGUGAAAGAUUUAUCGCCGUAAGAUCGGCUCGCUUCUGAUUAGCUAUUUGGUAGGGUAAUGGCCUACCAAGGCUACGAUCAGUAGCUGUUAUGAGAGUAUGAUCAGCCACAUUGGUACUGAGACACGGCCCGAAAUACUAGGGGAGGAAGGAGUGGGGAAUAUUGGGAAAUGGGCGAAAGCAUGAUGGAGCCAUGACGGGAGAGUGAUGAAGGAGCUAGGGAUGAAAAGCAGAAUUGUGAGGGAAGAUAAUGACGGUAACGAAAGAAAAAGCCACGGCUAACUACGUG
rnacentral:rRNA from 1 species